rnacentral:rRNA from 1 species
UCGAGAAUUUUUCUCAAUGGGCGAAAGCCUGAAGGAGCGACGCCGCGUGGGGGAUGAAUGGCUUCGGCCCGUAAACCCCUGUCAUUUGCGAACAAACCCCAUCAUUUAAAAGAUGACGAGCUGAUUGUAGCGAAAGAGGAAGGGACGGCUAACUCUGUGCCAGCAGCCGCGGUAAUACAGAGGUCCCAAGCGUUGUUCGGAUUCACUGGGCGUAAAGGGUGCGUAGGUGGUCGGGUAAGUCUGAUGUGAAAGCUCCGAGCUUAACUCGGAAAUGGCAUUGAAUACUAUUCGGCUAGAGGGUUGGAGGGGGGACUGGAAUUCUCGGUGUAGCAGUGAAAUGCGUAGAUAUCGAGAGGAACACCAGUGGCGAAGGCGAGUCCCUGGACAACUCCUGACACUGAGGCACGAAAGCUAGGGGAGCAAACAGGAUUAGAUACCCCCGUAGUCC